UGGAUCCUGCCGGAGGUCACUGUUAUCAAGGUUCGACUUAGCCAUGCGAGGCGCGAGCUAUUUGGGCUCGCCAUACUGCUCAGUAACACGUAGCUAACCUACUCUUAGCUGGAGGAUAAUCAUGCGAAAGUGUGGCUAAUACUCCAUAGCUGUUGAGUGCUGGAAUGCUUCAAUAGCAAAAGCUACGGCGGCUAAGAAUGGGGCUGCGACCUAUCAUGGCUGUUGUGAGUGUAAAGUACUCACAAACCUGUAACGGGUACGGGCCAUGAGAGUGGAAGCCUGGAGAUGCCUUCUGAGACAUGAAGGCAGGUCCUACGGGACGCAGCAGGCGCGAAAACUUUCCAAUUCCUGCAAGGGUGAGAAGGGAACCUUGAGUGACUAUGCUUUGCAUAGCCUUUUAUUUUGCUUAAAAAGCAAGAUGAAUAAGUGGUGGGUAAGACGGGUGGCAGCCGCCGCGGUAAUACCCGCGCCACGAAUGGUGAUCACGAUUAUUGGGUCUAAAGCGUUCGUAGCCGGUUUGGCAAGUUCUUGGUGAAAUCUGCUAGCAAACUAGCAGGCUUGCUGAGAAUACUACCAGACUUGGGAUCGGGAUAGGAUGAAGGUGUUCCACGUGUAGGGGUUAAAUCCUUUAAUCCGUGGAAAACCUCCGGUGGCGAAGGCGUUCAUCUGGAACGAGUCCGACGGUGAGGGACGAAAGCGUGGGGAGCAAAUCUAAUCCUUUGAUAAAAGGAUGAGAGCUUAAACGGGAUUAGAUACCCCGGUAGUCCAUGCUGUAAACGAUGCCCGCUUGAUGUUGCAAACUCUACGGGAGUUUGCAGUGUCGGAGCGUAGGUGUUAAGCGGGCCACCUGGGGAGUACGGCCGCAAGGUUGAAACUUAAGGGAAUUGGCGGGAGAGCACACAAGGGGUGGAGGCUGCGGUUUAAUUGGAUUCAACGCCGG
rnacentral:rRNA from 1 species